CUGUUGCUUCAGUGUCUUCAUUCAGUACUGGGGGUAGACACGUGAGUCCACAUCGAGCAAGACUUCAUCCUACUACUUUGGAGGCAUUGGUCUGUACUCAAAGUUGGUUGGCAAUUGACAAACAAGGCACAAAAACUAAACUAAUUACCGUAAAUGAUCAAGAUAAUGAUGUAGAUCCGAAUAUGGAGCCGUACACAGUAAAUCUUGAAGACUAGAAGAACAACAUAUAAAAAGUUUAUAGUUAAUUUCAUGUAUUUUUUAUAAGAGAUU